rnacentral:rRNA from 1 species
AGUCGCCACGGUAAUACGAAGGGUGCAAGCGUUACUCGGAAUUACUGGGCGUAAAGCGUGCGUAGGUGGUGGUUUAAGUCCGUUGUGAAAGCCCUGGGCUCAACCUGGGAAUUGCAGUGGAUACUGGGUCACUAGAGUGUGGUAGAGGAUAGUGGAAUUUCCGGUGUAGCAGUGAAAUGCGUAGAGAUCGGAAGGAACAUCUGUGGCGAAGGCGACUAUCUGGGCCAACACUGACACUGAGGCACGAAAGCGUGGGGAGCAAACAGGAUUAGAUACCCCCGUAGUCCCUGUCUCUUAUACA